UGCAGUCGAGCGGAUGACGGGAGCUUGCUCCUUGAUUCAGCGGCGGACGGGUGAGUAAUGCCUAGGAAUCUGCCUGGUAGUGGGGGACAACGUUUCGAAAGGAACGCUAAUACCGCAUACGUCCUACGGGAGAAAGCAGGGGACCUUCGGGCCUUGCGCUAUCAGAUGAGCCUAGGUCGGAUUAGCUUGUUGGUGAGGUAAUGGCUCACCAAGGCGACGAUCCGUAACUGGUCUGAGAGGAUGAUCAGUCACACUGGAACUGAGACACGGUCCAGACUCCUACGGGAGGCAGCAGUGGGGAAUAUUGGACAAUGGGCGAAAGCCUGAUCCAGCCAUGCCGCGUGUGUGAAGAAGGUCUUCGGAUUGUAAAGCACUUUAAGUUGGGAGGAAGGGCAGUAAGUUAAUACCUUGCUGUUUUGACGUUACCGACAGAAUAAGCACCGGCUAACUCUGUGCC
rnacentral:rRNA from 1 species